GGAUGGUCCAGGUUUUGGAGGAAUGAAUAGAAUUGGAGGAGGUAUGUAUAAAGAUUUGUUUUUUUGUAUGUACCCAUCACCAUUUUUAAUAAACUAGAAACUGUGUUGAGAAUUCCAUGGAAAAAAAGUCAUGGUUUAUUGUUGGCUCAUGUUCUAAAGGCUGCUAGCAGAAAUUGAGCCUGGUACAUACUUAAAGGAAGGUGAUGUGUUAAGAAGUAGCUGCACAAGGUAGGGUGGAUGAAGAGCUUACUGGUGAGAUUUAACAUUUACAAAAUGUACCUUUCAGCUACAUGACUGACAGUUGGAUCUCAAAAUUAAUCUUUAUUCCAUAGGAAUAGGGUUUGGUGGUCUGGAAGCAAUGAAUAGCAUGGGAGGAUUUGGAGGAGUUGGCCGAAUGGGAGAGCUGUACCGUGGUGCGAUGACUAGUAGCAUGGAGCGAGAUUUUGGACGUGGUGAUAUUGGAAUAAAUCGAGGCUUUGGAGAUUCCUUUGGUAGACUUGGUGGUGGAAUGGGUGGCAUGAACAGUGUGACUGGAGGAAUGGGGAUGGGACUGGACCGGAUGAGUUCCAGCUUUGAUAGAAUGGGACCAGGUAUAGGAGCUAUACUGGAAAGGAGCAUCGAUAUGGAUCGAGGAUUUUUAUCGGGUCCAAUGGGAAGCGGCAUGAGAGAGAGAAUAGGCUCCAAAGGCAACCAGAUAUUUGUCAGAAAUGUAAGCAAAUAAAUAUUAAGGAUGAUUGAAAUUCUUUUUUUUCUUGUAUAUAUGUUACUAAUACCUCUUUUCAUUCUAGCUACCUUUUGACUUGACUUGGCAGAAACUAAAAGAGAAAUUCAGUCAGUGUGGUCAUGUAAUGUUUGCAGAAAUAAAAAUGGAGAAUGGAAAGUCAAAAGGCUGUGGAACAGUCAGAUUUGACUCCCCAGAAUCAGCUGAAAAAGCCUGCAGAAUAAUGAAUGGCAUAAAAAUCAGUGGCAGAGAAAUUGAUGUUCGCUUGGAUCGUAAUGCAUAAUUUCAAGCCAUGGUUGGAACAUUCCUACAUCUGUUUUGCUGAAUCUCCUAGUAAAAGUCAUUUUUUUAAAGUAAUAUUGUAUGCUUACAAAAGCUGUAAAAAUGAACUUUUAAAACUCCCACCAGCUUUUAACAGUAUAAUGUUAAAAAUAUACUGUAAUUUUUGUUAAUCUCAAGUUUGGGUUUUUAAAGACAGCAAGUCUGGUCAUUCAGUUUAAAUGAAUGGUUAUACUGUUUUUAAUGAAAUAAGCCAUUUUCUUGUUGUUUUCAGUACUACAUAGUUGGAUUUGUUUCUUCUGGUUUCUCCAGUUUUUGUCAACUUAUUGUAUGGUAAAACAUAGAUUUUUUUCCCCCCCAAACUUCUGUUUUAUAAUAUGUAAUUUUUCAUGAAAAGAAAGGGCUCAGAAAAAUUAGGAUGUGAUUUUGGUUGGUUUUAGAUUACUGUAAGUAAGUUUUAGAUUCUAAGGUUCAGGAUUUUAAAAAUUUGAUUUAAAUGAAGAAAUGGAUUUUUCUCUCUGCCGCUCGCUGCCAUUCAUAUUUUCUGCAUAACACUAUUAAUAAUAUCAACCUCCACAGCCCCUUAUUUUAGUAUUUCCAAUAAUUCCAAGUUCAUAUAGAACUGAUAAUGUAGCAAGCCCCAAGUAUGAUAAUAGGCAGACUAUUCCCAACUUUCUGUCUAGUUUCCAGCCAUUGAAGUGAACUGCUAAAAAAAGAAAAAUAAUUGAAAUGUUGAGAGAGAUGGUUAUGUAAGUUAGUCCUCUGCUGUUUACUUCUAUAGGAGCUGAUCCAUUUAUAAAUGCAGUUUUAAUAAACCAUGGAAUACCAAGGCACAACAUAUCAAACACAUUGGAUCCCACGAUGUUAGACAUAGCCAUAUCUCCUUUCCCUACAAAAGAAAAGCAUACUGUUAAAAUGUGCUUACCAAUACUGUAUUUUAUUAAUAAUCUUCAUAAGAAAAGAAACACUGGAUACUUUUGUGUUGUUGAUUCGUUUUGGAAAAUUGUUGUUAGAGCAAAAGUCUUACUGAAUUUGUAUUUUUAAAUUUUUCUUGGGUUAGUAUUUAAAGUCUUAACAUUUAUUUAAUAAUUAUAUUUAUUAAACCAUUUUUCAAUAAGGUAU
rnacentral:sRNA from 1 species